AGCUUUCGGUUUAUUUUUAGCCUGUGGCGUCGUCGCCGCUCCAACGACGCCGAUAAAAACUUUUUUUUCUGGCCGAGAUUGUUAGGGUUCUCGAUCGGAAAUCGAAGAUAUCACUCUUCCGCGAGUGGAAUCCAGGGGCAGACAGCCGUCUUCUCUCUGUCUCUUCAAUCUGUCUUCGUUUGUUGGGGAAUCUGCGGAGUGUUGCCUCUGGUUCCCGUAAUUGCUUCUCCGAGUAAUCUCCGAUGAUUUGCCGAUCGGUUUGUUGCGGCGCGAUGACCUUUCGGGCGCAGGACGCUGAGGGUGUCGUCGUCCUUGUGACGGGGCUGGGGGCGGAGGAUGCUAUUGGGGAUUACGUUAGGUUGGGCGACGCUGAUGCCGGAUCCCGUGGAAGUAAGUGGAGUUUGAUUUGGUGGUGGCUGAGGGUGGUUCUCUUGUGUGUUUUCUUGUGUGCGGCCGCUGUGCCUCUCGUCAUCUUCGUUGGCCCCUUGAUCAUCAGAAAGGUAAUUGUACCAGUGUUGAACUGGGAAACGAGAACAUUCAGUAGAUCUGUCCUGGUGCUGUUACUUUUUGCUUCUAUUGCCUUAUUUCCAACUUUCUUGUUACCUUCAUCGCCUUGCAUGUGGAUAGCUGGGAUGACUUUUGGCUAUGGUUAUGGCUUUCUUCUAAUUAUGGUUGGGAGCCUUAUAGGGAUGUCGCUGCCUUUUUUUGUUGGAUCAUUUUUCCGUCAUGAUCUACAUAGAUGGUUAGAGAAAUGGCCCAAGAAAGCAGCCAUUAUAAGAUUGGCUGGUGAAGGAGAUUGGUUUCAUCAAUUUCGAGCUGUUGUUUUGCUGAGGAUUUCACCAUUCCCUUAUCUUAUAUUUAAUUAUGCAGCUGUUGCAGCAAAUAUUAAGUAUGGACCAUAUAUAUCAGGUUCAGCUGUAGGAACUGUGCAUGAGAUCUUCAUAACAAUUUACAGGUUGGUAAACUUUUCCUGCUUUGAACUUCUGAAUGAAUUGCUCUAGCCGGCCCACUCGUUCAUAUGUGGCUUAGCAUCCAUUUUAAUCCAGUACUUUUCUGUUGGUAAACUAUGUGCUCUCAUAUAUACCAUAUUCAUAUGUCAAUAUCAGUUACUCAACAACAUAUGCUUGAUGAUCUAGGUUUGAGUUCUUCAUAUCAUGAAUCCUUGAGUAAUGUCAAAAAAUAUUGUCUUUCAUUUACUAAUACAAUUAAUUCUCUAUCCUGAGAAGUUUCUGCCUCUGUAUUCUACUAUAAGAAAGAUGGCACAUGAUACUAAGCACAGUGGUUCAUGGAUGCUGGGUAAUGCAGAAGGCAAAUCCCUCUGAUAUUUUGAGAUGAUCGGCUAAUGUUGAAUAUUAGUAGAUUGAAAAUCUAAUUGGAAGCUGUUUACUAUCUUUUCUAGCCCUCACAUCCUGCGGUAGACUGAUUCAGAGCUUAGCGGAUGCAACAAAUACUGGAGUUUUCCUUUCGAUGCAGCAGAUCGUCUACGAUGCCAUUGGAUUCUGUGUUGCAGCAGCGGCUA